rnacentral:rRNA from 1 species
AAUCCAUAGGUUAAUGAGGCGAACCGGGGGAACUGAAACAUCUAAGUACCCCGAGGAAAAGAAAUCAACCGAGAUUCCCCCAGUAGCGGCGAGCGAACGGGGAGGAGCCCAGAGCCUGAAUCAGCAUGUGUGUUAGUGGAAGCGUCUGGAAAGGCGCGCGAUACAGGGUGACAGCCCCGUACACAAAAGCGCAUGUGCUGUGAGCUCGAUGAGUAGGGCGGGACACGUGGUAUCCUGUCUGAAUAUGGGGGGACCAUCCUCCAAGGCUAAAUACUCCUGACUGACCGAUAGUGAACCAGUACCGUGAGGGAAAGGCGAAAAGAACCCCGGCGAGGGGAGUGAAAAAGAACCUGAAACCGUGUACGUACAAGCAGUGGGAGCACAGGUUUACCUGUGUGACUGCGUACCUUUUGUAUAAUGGGUCAGCGACUUAUAUUCUGUAGCAAGGUUAACCGAAUAGGGGAGCCGGAGGGAAACCGAGUCUUAACCGGGCGUUAAGUUGCAGGGUAUAGACCCGAAACCCGGUGAUCUAGCCAUGGGCAGGUUGAAGGUUGGGUAACACUAACUGGAGGACCGAACCGACUAAUGUUGAAAAAUUAGCGGAUGACCUGUGGCUGGGGGUGAAAGGCCAAUCAAACCGGGAGAUAGCUGGUUCUCCCCGAAAGCUAUUUAGGUAGCGCCUCGUGAAUUCAUCUCCGGGGGUAGAGCACUGUUUCGGCUAGGGGGCCAUCCCGGCUUACCAACCCGAUGCAAACUGCGAAUACCGGAGAAUGUUAUCACGGGAGACACACGGCGGGUGCUAACGUCCGUCGUGAAGAGGGAAACAACCCAGACCGCCAGCUAAGGUCCCAAAGUCAUGGUUAAGUGGGAAACGAUGUGGGAAGGCCCAGACAGCCAGGAUGUUGGCUUAGAAGCAGCCAUCAUUUAAAGAAAGCGUAAUAGCUCACUGGUCGAGUCGGCCUGCGCGGAAGAUGUAACGGGGCUAAACCAUGCACCGAAGCUGCGGCAGCGACGCUUAUGCGUUGUUGGGUAGGGGAGCGUUCUGUAAGCCUGUGAAGGUGGCCUGUGAGGGUUGCUGGAGGUAUCAGAAGUGCGAAUGCUGACAUAAGUAACG